AGCUAGCUCAUAAGGGGAGGUUUGUAAACACAUAUAUAUAAUACUCAAGACCUCCUUGCUGAAUCGAUGUGCAACGCAUCAUGGUGACUAGGGUUUGUUAAAUAGGGAAUUAUAGGAGUUGAAGUUGAUGCAUAAUAUGUAAAUUAUUUAGGGUUUGAGCAAUGGUUAGUAAAUAAUGAAGUUUAUUGGUGAAAAAUUAAUGAUUUGAAUUAGGUUAAAAUGCAGGUUUUUUGGGACAGCAGCUGCAUAUAAAGUUUGAAGCUUUGUUUGUGUGGUUUUGCUUAGUGCCAGGUGAAGAAAAAAUUGUAAAAGAAAUGUGAGAACCACUGUUUAUAUUGUUUUUGUGAUUAGAUGAAGUACUAGGUGAUAAGGGGAGAAUGGGGAAAUAUGGAAGUUGACUUGAAGAAAGAUACUAAUACUAAUACUAAUACUACUAAUAAUAAUAAGUGCACAAGCAAUAAGAACGGAGAGCUAGAGAGAGAAAUGACACUAGGCACACCUGGAUUCAACUGUAAACUAAAGCACUUAUUAUUGUCAUUGUCCAUGUAAAUCAUUAGAUUACUUAACUAUUUGUAAUGCAGACCGAUUAUUUAAAAGAAAAGGAAAUAUUUUUCGAGGUCAUCAACUCCAUAAUGCCUUGUAAUGAUUACUACUACUAAAAUUAAGGGGAAAAAAAACACACGCUAAAAGAACAACUAGAUCUCAAGGAUAAUCACCUUAAGAGUUUUUGAAUGUCUAUAGAAAGACGUGACUCAAUAUAGUAUAAUACCCAUGUUUUAUAGGAAAUUAUUGCAAUUACAAUUCUGCCUGAGUUUGCAGAUUUGCUUAUAACUGAGAGUUCCCAAACUAAAUGCUAUUUUAACUUCAAACUCAUAUUGGCUUAACUUACAGAAGUAUGGCAUUCAUGCUUCCAUGGGGUUAGACAAUAGUCCCA
rnacentral:misc_RNA from 1 species